UACGGGGGGGGCAAGCGUUGUUCGGAAUUACUGGGCGUAAAGGGCUCGUAGGCGGCCAACUAAGUCGGAUGUGAAAUCCCCAGGCUUAACCUGGGAACUGCAUCCGAUACUGGAUGGCUUGAAUCCGGGAGAGGAAUGCGGAAUUCCAGGUGUAGCGGUGAAAUGCGUAGAUAUCUGGAGGAACACCGGUGGCGAAGGCGGCAUUCUGGACCGAUAUUGACGCUGAGGAGCGAAAGCCAGGGGAGCAAACGGG
rnacentral:rRNA from 1 species